rnacentral:rRNA from 1 species
GAUGAACGCUGGCGGCGUGCCUAACACAUGCAAGUCGAGCGGCAGCGAGGGGUGCUUGCACCCUGUCGGCGAGCGGCGGACGGCUGAGUAACGCGUGUGAACGUGCCCCAAAGUGAGGAAUAACUGCCCGAAAGGGUAGCUAAUACCGCAUAUUAUCUUCGCAUCAAAGGAUUUAUCCGCGUUGGGAGCGGCUCGCGUCGGAUUAGGUAGGUGGUGAGGUAAUGGCUCACCAAGUCGACGAUCCGUAGCUGGUCGGAGAGGAUGACCCGCCAGACUGGAACUGAGACCCGGUCCAGACUCCGACGGGAGGGAGGAGAGAGGAAUCUAACGCAAGGGGCGAAAGCCUGAUGGGGCAACGCCGGGUGCAGGGCGAAGGCCUUCGGGUUGUAAACUGCUUUUAUAAGUGAGGAAUAUGACGGUAACUGAUGAAUAAGGAUCGGCUAACUACGUG